GGCCGGUCACGGGCCUGGGCUUUUGGGAAAGAGCGUGAGAUUUUUUUUUUUUAAAAUCACUUUUGGCGCCUCCGUGGGAGUUGACAUUUCCUGCAGUUAAGCUCAACAUUCUUGUUCUCUCUGCACGAUGGGUUUUCUUCUGGGGAUUCGAACCAAAACACGUGUGGAGGAAAUGCCACACUGCCCAUCCAGCUCCCUGCCUGUGGCCUGGAAAGCAGUGAAGGACUGACCACCCAGGGCCUUGGGAUCCUAGGCCUGCGUGGGAGACCCAGAAGAAGGUCCUGGCUCUUGGCUUCGGAUCAGCUCAGCUC